GUAACAAGGUUUCCGUAGGUGAACCUGCGGAAGGAUCAUUAAAGAUUAUGAAUGAAUAGAUUACUGGGGGAAUCGUCUGAACAAGGCCUGCGCUUAAUUGCGCGGCCAGUUCUUGAUUCUCUGCUAUCAGUUUUCUAUUUCUCAUCCUAAACACAAUGGAGUUUUUUCUCUAUGAACUACUUCCCUGGAGAGCUCGUCUCUCCAGUGGACAUAAACACAAACAAUAUUUUGUAUUAUGAAAAACUAUUAUACUAUAAAAUUUAAUAUUCAAAACUUUCAACAACGGAUCUCUUGGUUCUCGCAUCGAUGAAGAACGCAGCGAAUUGCGAUAUGUAUUGUGAAUUGCAGAUUUUCGUGAAUCAUCAAAUCUUUGAACGCACAUUGCGCCCUCUGGUAUUCCAGGGGGCAUGCCUGUUUGAGCGUCAUUUCUCUCUCAAACCUUUGGGUUUGGUAGUGAGUGAUACUCGUCUCGGGUUAACUUGAAAGUGGCUAGCCGUUGCCAUCUGCGUGAGCAGGGCUGCGUGUCAAGUCUAUGGACUCGACUCUUGCACAUCUACGUCUUAGGUUUGCGCCAAUUCGUGGUAAGCUUGGGUCAUAGAGACUCAUAGGUGUUAUAAAGACUCGCUGGUGUUUGUCUCCUUGAGGCAUACGGCUUUAACCAAAACUCUCAAAGUUUGACCUCAAAUCAGGUAGGAGUACCCGCUGAACUUAAGCAUAU
rnacentral:misc_RNA from 1 species